GGGGGCGAAUUAGGUUUCGACGGGGAUAUGGAGUAAGGAGUAGCGAGCCGUUGUCGCCAAACAACGUAAAAAGUGGCACUUAAAUUUAAACGCAGACGAUAAUUUAGCAUUAGCAGCGUAAUUUAAACGUUGUCGCUCUACCUAGUAGUCCCACCUAUUAGGAUAGAGUGUCAUUGUAGUGGGGAACUACUAUAGGCUUUCUCCAACCUAUAGUGGAAUAUGGAGAUAGCUAAGUAUAAAGCUUGCUAUUGGGCGUUAUACAAAGCGAAUACUAAAUCAGUAGCUGCGCUCGGAGAAGCUCUUUAUAAAGUAUUUUCGGACGUGGGUUCGAUUC
rnacentral:tmRNA from 1 species